rnacentral:rRNA from 1 species
AGCGAACGCUGGCGGCAGGCUUAACACAUGCAAGUCGAACGGGCAUAGCAAUAUUUCUGUGGCAGACGGGUGAGUAACGCGUGGGAACGUACCUUUUGGUUCGGAACAACACAGGGAAACUUGUGCUAAUACCGGAUAAGCCCUUACGGGGAAAGAUUUAUCGCCGAAAGAUCGGCCCGCGUCUGAUUAGCUAGUUGGUAGGGUAAUGGCCUACCAAGGCGACGAUCAGUAGCUGGUCUGAGAGGAGGAUCAGCCACAUUGGGACUGAGACACGGCCCAAACUCCUACGGGAGGCAGCAGUGGGGAAUAUUGGACAAUGGGCGAUAGCCUGAUCCAGCCAUGCCGCGUGAGUGAUGAAGGCCCUAGGGUUGUAAAGCUCUUUUGUGCGGGAAGAUAAUGACGGUACCGCAAGAAUAAGCCCCGGCUAACUUCGUG